AGAAGGAUAGAUAUUUGAUAUUUUCAGCCCGAGGAGGGUUAGUUUUCUAGUUACCCGACAUUUGCUUGUCGGGUAACCAUAGCAACAAAAUAAGAUGUUGAACAUAAAUAAAAAUUUGUCUUUCUAUUUCCCGUGCCAUCGGAAUUUUCUUGAAUCCGACAUCUUCUUGAAUUGGACGGACUCGUAUUUUCCGUCGUUAUUUAGUAAAAGUGAAUUGUUUUUAUUUCUGAAUUAUGUUCAGACAGAUUUACACAUCUCCCAGACUGGCACAAGUAAGCAGAUACACAAUAACGCUACUCGUACAUAUUUAGUUCUGAAAUUAAUGUGUAUAUGAAAGAUUCAAAAAGUAGAGGUCUAAAUAUCUUUUAAAUUUUAGAAACACAACUACCUAUAUUUUUCUUAACUGUAAUGAAGGUAUAAUAAAAAUUAAACCGAUUUUGAUGGAAAUCGAUCUGCCAAAAAUAUAAUUCCAUCCAGAAAAAUUAGUCCACUCGAUCUUCAGGAGAUUAAUACAUUUUGGUCCGUUGCAGAAACAAAACUUGAAAUUUAUUAGAUGGGAAAAGUUGGUUUAGACGUUUGAUUUAUUGAAUCCGGUUUGCAUAUCUUUUCAUAUCUAAUGAAAACCUUGUCCUCAUCAAAAUUUCAGAAGGACGGAAUGGACAAUUUAUCGAGUUCCGGAACCAAGGAAACAUCCCGACUUAUUUUUGUUUUCGGUCCGGAGCUACAUACAUAUAUAUUUAUGUACAAACAUUUCAUGUAGGCUGAGCUCACGCCGUGGUGCAAAUUUCCCGCAAGAAAUCCUACACCAAGUAACACCUGCUUUAUUGUCAUCAUGUCGUCUAGGUUAAAAUACUUAAAGUUCCUUCACGUCGUCAAUUUUUAAACUUUAAAAUAUGUACAUACAUUAAGUAGUACACAUUUGAAACUACGCAUAAGGUUAUCGCACCACUUGCCAAAAAUUUCGUACUUAUGCACAAGGUUUCGUACCUCAUAUAAUGUCAAUACGCUUAAAUAUGUAAUUUAACUACUCAUCUUGCGAUAAGAUUCUUGUCACGAAAGGUUUGUUGUUCGUUGUGAACAUUCCGUUGGAGGGCUUUGACCCGAGAUCUAAAUAAGAAUGCGAUGGUGUGAAGUGUAACGCUCAGAUUUAGGUAAAAUUAUGGAAUUAUGUAAUUUAAGUCAAAGCAACUAACGUUUCUUAUUGAGAUAGUUUGUAGGAUGGUUGAAAUUCGUCAAAAUAUUUGAGGUCAAAGUUGAAAAUGGGCGAUUUUUAGCACGGAUAGAGAAUUGAAGUUGAGUUUGCAUGCUCCGCCUGCUAAAAACUAGUUUUCCAACUUUGACCUCAAGUAUUUUGACGAAUUACAACCAUCGCGCAAACUGCCUCAAGAAACGAUGCUCGUAUUCGUCUGGACCCCAUGAUUUUAAAAUUUCAACCAAAUCAUCGGAGGGUUACACUUCACACCAUCGCAUUGUCCGCAUAAUCACAUGUUAGGUGGAUGUAUGUAUACAUAUAAUGCCGACUAAACAUCGCUUGACAGACUACACUGUCUAAAAUAAGUGAGUGUACGGUGGCCUAUGCCAAAAUUUAAAUAAGUUUACUUUUUCCACACUUCAUUGAUAGCUACACUCAAAAUAAGGUAGUAAUGAAUCAUUACCAUGCGGAAUGACUAUGUGGCUCUACCACGUCGGUUACGAUUUGUCAUAGAAGUGGUAAUAAUAAGUUCAGGGAAAUUCAAAUUCAUUACCAGAUAUUAAGGAAGUGAAUACCAUUAUGUAUUAAAUUUGAAUUUCCUCGAACUAAUUAUUACCAUCUCUACGACAAAUCGUAACCGACGUGGUAUAGCCACAUAGUCAUUCCGCCUGGUAAUGAUUCAUUAGUACCUUAUUUUGAGUGUAGUGUAUGUAUCCUACAUAUUUCCGUUCUUAUAUUUAAAUUCACCCAGUGUUCAUUGUACGUAACACUGGGUGUCGUCACAAUCAUCAUGGAGCUACGGUACAGUCUAGAAUAUGUACCAGGAUAGAUUUCCUUUUUGAAUUUGAUUUCCUUUGGUAGGAAACCUGGUCUUGAAUUUUUCGUGUUGUAGAAAGAUAUCUUUGACAUUCUUGUCUGUUUUUGAACCUUGGCUGCAAAAUCUGGGGGCAGUUCCUUCAGCAAGUAUUUAGUCAUGCCUGGGUCCAACCCUUCUAUGAGGGGUAGAACGGUAUAUGCAAAUCUAAUUUAAAGCUGGCCAAAAUUGUGCAAAAGUGUGGGUUCGUACAUAUUUAUAUUGGAUAGUUUUCCCCUUAAUUCAAACCAUGACUUUACGCUAUCUCGUAGAAUUUUUUUUAUCGACGGACAGUAAAUUCCUAAAAAGCCCAAAUACAUAAGUCUUAUCUGUAAGUUUAAUAAGAUAGUUAUAUUUUCGUAACAUCUACCUUGCCAACUUUGUCGUUGAUUUUCUUAAAUGUACAUAUCUAGGUAAUUUUGCGUCCCAACUUUCUGUAAUAUCCACUGUUUUUGUAAUUAAUAGUGGAUACCCAGCAAAUUGAAAAUUUACAUGUUAAUGAAAUGUAUAACUUAAAAAUUGGACCUUAUAAACAUCUUAAACUCCCUUAAAAAUUUUAACUACAAUUAAUUUCGGAUAAAAUCAGUCUGUAAAUUCCUUUGCAUAAAGAUAACACCGUAGUUUAUUCAGAUCUAGGCUUAAGGCCCGUUUCUCACAUACACUGUAAUUUACUUCGUGUAUAUUGAACAAACGGCUUGCAUAACAGAUAACAAAUAGUUGUCCGUUUUCAUGUCGGCACAUUUCCAAAAAGAGUAUCGCAUGCAAAACCUUCCUGGUUUGGAACAUUUAUCGCGUCCCUGCGACGACAACCCUUCGUAUUAAGAGGACAGAAAAGUCCCGGAUUCACUUUUCGUCAUUUAGUUUUAAAUCCUUAAUUACUACAUCGUUACAUGUGCUUGGGCGACGUGUUUUACUAUAUGUAUUCCAUUGUAUGCUUUUAUUAUUAUAACUACAUAUUAUCUGGAAUUACGUGGCUAUGAAAUAGUGAAGGCACAUUUAAGUAAAAUCGUCACUUGUGUGAUCUAACUUAAUCAUCUGAUUACGACAAUUAUGCAGCAAAUUUAUUUUCGAUCCUCACUGCAUACAUAUGUCCAAAUGCUGCCAACUAUGUAGAUUUGAGAUGAGGUGUACACUCUCAGCAAAAUUGCCACUUAAAUCGUCUCCUCGUGUAGGUACUAUGUGCGUCUACCGUAGGGUAAUAAUUUACCUCCCUCCGUUGAAAAGUGUGUUUUGUCUCCCGAGCGGAGGUAAAUAUUAUUGUCACCUGUCGAGAUACAAUUUGUUACUGCGGAUUACAAAACGUAUUCAAUAUGAUGGUAAGUUGUGUCUCUGAGUGGAAAUAAUUUACCUACUAGUAGUGAUGAAUUAUCUCCGUCUCCGUCACAUAUUUGUCUCCUUGCGGUGAUAGUUUAUGACUCUGAGGAAGCAAAUAUGGAUACAAUUUCAUGACAAUUUAUUUAUUUAUUUAACUGAGCUUUUAUUAGAAACUAAAUUUUCUCACAUGUUUCUACAUAUUACAAAAACAAAGAUAUAAGAAUUAAAUUAUGUACAUGUUUAUAUAUAUUACUUAUCAUACAAUUAUAUUGGUUCUUAGAUAAUAAGAAUAAGAUAAGAUUAAUUUCUAGCGCAUUCGGAAAUAUGUAUGUCUUUACAAAUGGUGUCUUGUCGUUACAAACAAACCGUCAACUUUGCAAUUUUUUUGAAUCUCCAUGCAAUCGUGUAUGACUAAAUCUUCAACAUCAACCAAAAUUACAUGUUCGCCCAUUAGGACCUUAUAAGCAAAGAAAUGAGAAACAAAAUAUUCGACUGUCAUCUCUUUGAGUAUGAAUAGGCACUUAUUAUCGUGAAUAACAAGAAAUUCCGAAAUAAUCCCAAAUUUAGGAAAUAUUGGACCCAUUCCAAAACACACUACAUAAUUUGAUCGAUAAGAAUAUCCUUUAUAUUUGAUUUUGCUAGUACAAUACACAAAAGUAUCCGCCGAGCAAAAUUCAAACCCCUUAAUUAAUCUUAAGCACUCAAUAAUAUCAAAAGAAUCUGCGAGUUCUGAUAAACAAACCUUUAUCACAUUAUCUAUUUCAAGUCCAUCGUGAAGGUCAAUAUUUUUAAACAUAUGGGAACUGUAUUGUUGGUGCCGCAUGGCAAGAGAUGAACAAAUAUUAAUGAAGUUUCUAUUACGGUUGGCUAACUGCGAAAAAUAGUAAUGCUUCCCCUCAAAUCGCAUCGUCCAUAGAGAAAUAAGGGGACCACUCUGUCGAAUUAUGUAAGGGUAAUGACACAUAAAGUGGUGUUUUGGUAUCAGUCUAGUUUCUGGAAAAAGUUCUUUGAAUAAUUUGUGAUGCUUGACUAUGCUGGCUUUUAGACAUUCAAUUGUUGUGUCAGAAAAUUUUCUGCAGAAGGCGCAACUCAUACAAGUCAGCAACGCAAUUAAUAAUUUCCAAUAUUUUUUUUUCUCCUCAGUUUCAAUCAAAUCGCCGAUAAUUACAGGCAAAAAUCUGAUAAGGCACCAUGCUUGAGCCGCUUUUUCUUAGUGAGGCAAAUACCUAACAACGAAAAAAAUUACUAAGUAUGCAUUUGACCCACCCCAAAAAAGUGACCAUCUGCGAUUUCUCAGUCAUUUCUCAACCGAUUUUGAUCAAAUUUUGCACCGAUUAUUGUUACAUAAUAUAGAAAUGGGAUCUGAUCCGACUAAGCGAUUACGUGAUCUUGACCGGAAUUAUGGGCAAAAAUGUAGCCUUAGAAACACAUUUGUAAUUAUUGCUAGUUACUAGCAAACGUUAUCAACAGUUUGAUACCCACGAAUUGUAAGGCAGUUUAUCCCGAAAAUUUUAAGUAUGAAUAUAUCAAAAUCCGUUAAGAAUUGGCUUAGUUAUUCCAAUUUGAAGUUCAGAAAUUCCUGCUCGUGCUACAAAUCAUUGCCAUUGACAACGACGCAAGACUAAUAAAUUGAAAACAAAUUACAUUCAAAACUGUAAACAGCACAACUAAUCGCUUCUGUAACAUGCUUGGUAAGUUGCGUGAAAUUGUUGUUGUUGGUGUUGCACCUCCAGAUCAGGUCUUUUGGUGUUUAGUAAUCUAGGCCGGACAUUUUGACCAAAAUGAUAUAAAUCGGUUAAGAAAUAACGGAUUUAUUCAAUUUUAAACACCCAGCAUUUAAUAAAAUUAUUCCGCAUCAAACUACUGAAAAGGGGUAGUGCAAUGCAGUCAUCCAAUGGACAAUCUAAUUACCCAAUUAAAAAUUAUAAAUAAACAAGGUCCCUAAAAAGGGGAAAUCUUAGUGAGGGAGUGCAAUCACAACGAAUAAAUAAAAUUAGAUUGGAGAAUUUUUGCAUCACCACUCUCGGUACCAUUUUUACUGGAAGCAUUAAUCCUUUAAAUAGAACACUUGCUCCCUCGAAAGGUUCGAUGAUUUUGCAUAGAGUAGCCAAAUUAAUAUAUGAAAUUGAAAUUUGUAUAUUUUUUUAAACAAAUACGUAGCUCAUAAUUAUUUGGUCAUUAAAUCUUACAUAUCUACCUCAGUUAAUUUAACCCACUUCUCGUUCACUACACAGUAAAAAUGUAUUCCUUCCUCAAUUUAUUCAAUAAAACUAAGAAUUCAUGCGUAUGCAAAGAAAAAUUUAUACUGCAUCCAGUAAGAAUGGAACCGAGAGCGGUGAUGCAAAAAUUCUCCAAUCUAAUUUUAUUUAUUAGUUGUGAUUGCACUCCCUCACUAAGAUUUCCCCUUUUUAGGGACCUUGUUUAUUGUCCAAUCCGAUGACCUUGACCAUCUAAUUUCAUAGGACUUGGCUUAUUCUUGGACUCCAAAAACCCAUAAUCAUGCACCAUUAACCUAUCAUUAAUAAUAUUUAAGCUUAUACCCCCUAAACUUAUCAGCCUCUGCAGCACUAAUUUAAGCUCAAAAGGAACCACCCCUUCUAAAAUAUCAUGCAUAAUAUCCACCGAUGGAGAAUUGACAAAAGAAUAAAAAUUAAGAUCAUCGAGUGGACAGCUGCCUACAACGCCAUGUGACAAGUGAUUUAAAUGGUCCCGUAAAUUUUCCCUAUUUCUUAACAAAAAUUCCGAAUGAUCAAAUUUUUCUUGAGCAUCAGGUUUUGAAACACAACAAAUUCUACAAUAAUAAUUCGCACUGAAGGAUUCCAUAAAA